AAGUCGUAACAAGGUUUCCGUAGGUGAACCUGCGGAAGGAUCAUUACAGAGACACGCCUCCGGGCAAAUCUCCCACCCUUUGCUUACAUACCGUGUUGCUUUGGCGGGCCCGCCCCAGGGCUGCUGGCUUAGGCUGGCCCGUGCCCGCCAGAGACCCAAAACUCUUCAUUUUAAUGCUGUCUGAGUACUACAUAAAUAGGUUAAAACUUUCAACAACGGAUCUCUUGGUUCUG
rnacentral:misc_RNA from 1 species